rnacentral:piRNA from 1 species
UCUCAGAGCAGCUGUCUGGCGUGGGAGCG